rnacentral:rRNA from 1 species
UACGAAGGAUUCGAGCGUUAUCCGGAUUUAUUGGGUUUAAAGGGUGCGUAGGUGGAUUAAUAAGUCAGUGGUGAAAGCCCGCAGCUUAACUGCGGAACUGCCAUUGAUACUGUUAGUCUUGAGUACAGUUGAGGUGGGCGGAAUGUGUCAUGUAGCGGUGAAAUGCUUAGAUAUGACACAGAACACCGAUUGCGAAGGCAGCUCACUAAGCUGUAACUGACACUGAGGCACGAAAGCGUGGGGAGCAAACAGG